AUGUUUUCAUGUCGAUACAUGAGGAAUAUAUUAGCAUUUGAAGAAUGUCACAUUACAGAUGACGACGAUUCAUGUCACAUUUCUCAGUACUUGAGUAUCUUAGAUUUUCUUACUAACACAGAAAAAGAUGUGAGUAUCUUGGUUGAUAAGAAAAUUAUUGUGAAUUUGAUGUGUGAUGCUAAUGAAGUGGCUACAAUGGUUAACAAUCUUUCCAAAAAUGUUUCAGUAAUAUAUGUCUUUAUGUCAUAG